rnacentral:rRNA from 1 species
AGGGGGACAACAGUUGGAAACGACUGCUAAUACCGCAUAACGCGUAGAGGUCGCAUGGCCUUUACGCCAAAGAUUUAUCGCUGAAAGAUGGCCUCGCGUCUGAUUAGCUAGUUGGUGAGGUAACGGCCCACCAAGGCGACGGUCAGUAGCCGGACUGAGAGGUUGAACGGCCACAUUGGGACUGAGAUACGGCCCAGACUCCUACGGGAGGCAGCAGUGGGGAAUAUUGGGCAAUGGGCGCAAGCCUGACCCAGCAACGCCGCGUGAAGGAAGAAGGCUUUCGGGUUGUAAACUUCUUUUGUCAGGGACGAGUAGAAGACGGUACCUGACGAAUAAGCCACGGCUAACUACGUGCCAGCAGCCGCGGUAAUACGUAGGUGGCAAGCGUUGUCCGGAUUUACUGGGUGUAAAGGGCGUGUAGCCGGGAGGGCAAGUCAGAUGUGAAAUCCACGGGCUCAACUCGUGAACUGCAUUUGAAACUACUCUUCUUGAGUAUCGGAGAGGCAAUC